rnacentral:lncRNA from 1 species
AAAAGUCAACCAAACAAAAACCUUAAAAACAAAAAGUUAAACGGCCUGAAGCCGGAUGUGUGUGGCAUAUUUUUGUAAUUCCAGCACAAGGCUAGAAGGAUUGCACUAAACUGGAAGCCAGUCAAUGCUAAUGGAAGUCUUACCAACAAAGAGGUGUGUGCGUGAGUGGGUGGGGUGUGUGUGGAACUGGGAAGAUGACUCACGGAGUAAAGUGCUUGUCUUAUAUGCCGGAGGUCCACGGAAAUGUAAAAGCUGGGCAGACAUGGUGACCACCUGCCACCCCAGCACCCAGGGAGCAGUGACAGCGUUCCCUGGAGCAAACUGGCUGGAUUAGCUGGAUUAAUGGGUUCCAAAUUCAGAGACAACUCCUACCUCAUUAAAGUGGAGAGUCGCCAAGGGAGACAUCAACAUCAACUUUUAGGCCUCCACACACGUGUGUACCCAUACGUAUGCAAACACAGAGUCAGCUCUGCACCAUACAUGCACACACAGAGAGACACAUGUGUGAGCAUACGUGUGCUUGUGCUCAAGAAAGGUCCAUUUAGGCGAACUAAUUUGCAUAGUCUCGAUCCCCUCAAUCCAGCCCCUUACAUUGAUUCUUAUCUUACUGUUCUACAGGAAAAAAUUAAAGAAAUUGGAGACCGCCAGCCAGAGAACCACCCAGAGGGAGUUCCUGAGGUGCCUCUGACCCCAGAGGCUGUGUCUGUGGAGCUGAGACCGCUCAUACUGUGGAUGGCCA